GUUGAAGGGAAGCUCCUCGUGUGGCCGGCGAGGAGCUGCUCUGCAUGGUGGACUACGAGAGCUUCACGAUCUUCGUUGGUACGGUGACCACAUCACAGAUAUUUGCGACAUCAAAGGGGUCGUCCAUUCUGAGGAAGGACCUCUUUCUGCUCCGCUGCACUUCCAGGUGUUUGGUUUUGCUUUGUCGUUUCCCAGAUGGUUUCUCUCUCUCAGCACAUUUCUGCAGAAGGGGGGCAGGUUGGAUCAUCCCCUCUUUGCCAUUGCUCAGCCCAUCAGUCUUGCAGCUCUCUGUGCUCUUCUGCAGUUUGGCAGCCAAACCCGGGGCAGGAGCGCAGCUGGGCUGAGCCUGCUUGGUGCCAUUUGCACUGCUGGAUGGAUGCCCUUCUGGGGGCAGAGACACAGAGAAGAUGGGCAAGGCUUUGCAGGUCUUCUUGGCCUUGGGUCUGAAUUCCUCCUGCAGUUCGUCGGCAGGGUUCUCAGCCUGGCUGCCAUGGUGGUGCUCUCUCCCAGUACAGUGCUUGCGCUUCAUGGGCUGAGCUGGGCAUGGAUGUGGACUGACAGGGUCUGCUGUCCCAUCUGCUGUUGCAUUGCAGGAAGCUGUUGGUGGCUCCAUGAUGGACAUCACAGCACUCUGCAUCGCCCACUGCACCUGGCUGAGCUGGCUCUGAUUCGCAUGCAGCUGAGAGCUCCCAUGCUGGAUUGGGUGACAUAUGGGGCCAACAGAGGUCACGGUUUGGCUCACCGGAUCUGAUGGCUUCGCUUUGUGCAGGCUAUGGCUGGCACUGCCAGUGGUUGUGGCUGCAAUGCUCAGCUGCAUGAAGCGUCUGCACAGCUCACUUAAAUCAUCCUGUGCCGUGCCGGAGGUCGGAGCGGUGCCAUCAGUGCCAUGAGCAGUCUCUUGCAGCUGGAAGGCUGGCACAGGCUGGGGGAUGGCUCUCUGUGCCCUUGGCUGGGCUGAGAAGUCUUCUCCCCUCCAGGCAAACAUCGCCCAAACGAGGGCUUUCCCAAAGCUUCGGUUCCCAGAUGCCGCCCUUUCCUUGUGCCCUGCAGGCUGUCUGCCACUCUCAGCAGCAGCAAAGCCGGCUGUUGGUGAGCUCUGUUCCCUUGCAGAGCCUGGCAAGAGCAGGAGCACUGCGCAGAGGCGUUUGUUGCUCUUGGUGGGCUCGUUGCCACGGCCGGAACCCUGGAGUGACUUCAUAACGGUGUCGCCAGUGGCAACCUGGGGCAUCUUUGCACCCAUCCCC
rnacentral:lncRNA from 1 species